CUGCAUUUUCCUUUUAUUUGUGACCCAAGCAAAACAUAAACAGUCAUCUAAUGGUACAGCACCGAGGGAGUGCGUGGACUUGCUUUAGAAUCAAAUCUCGAUUUUGCAUUGUUCAUUUCUACAAACGGAUUUCGCUGAGGUAUAACCUGAAGAAUAUGUUUGAGCUAAGAGAAGUUUUCAGAUUUUGCACAACCAGUUUCAAUCUUCAAAUGUGGGGUUGGAACUCAAACGAGCAUGUUAUUCUUAUUUGAUAUUUCCAUUGAAACUACUGAUCCAAAAUGCAUCUGUAAAUCCAGAGAUCUGUUAUGGAGAUCAUGGAACCAUAAACAUUUUGGAAAAUGGACGUUCAUUACAGAUUGGAUGUCAGUUCAGAAAAGUUUGACUUAGAAAAGAUGUCUCGACUUCAUCACCUUUCAUGGAUGCUUCAAGUGAGUAAUCAAGAUUUAUUGGUGGAGGAGGACUGGAACAUUUUGUCACUCAGUCUUAACAACAGUGCGGUGGGCACAACUCAUGCCCCACAUGUACUCCCUCAGCUUCUUUAUCUUCUUGAGCGAACUUGACAACGAUUAACAAACAUUAGUUUGAAGAGGCGAGUGCAAAGGUUUGGCCCCACUGUGCAAGUCACAGCUCUUUGUUUCCACCUAACAUGGAAAAGCAUAACCUGCUGUUCAAAAGAACCUUUUGAAUGGGGUUCGAGUUUCUCUCCAGCGAUGAAGUAUUGCAGGAUUCUACUUUCUUUUGGCAGAUGUAGAUUUAAGGAAGUGGACCCAGUUGCAGCUUCUGACAAAGCAGGUCAAGGAACUGGAACUGGAGUUGGAUAUACCUAGAAUCAUCAGGAAACUGACAGCUCCAUAGGUGACUUUCUAAUCUCAGUUAUGGCUUUACUGAUGAGCACUGGGUAGAGGUCAGAGGGAAGGAAAAUCAAGCUGAGUCAAUGUGGAAUGAUCUUGUGGUUCUUCUAACACUGAGGAACUCAUUAAGUCCUCACAACAAGGGAAGAUUAAAAGGUUUGUGAAGAUUUUUGUGGAAGGCGUGAGAUGGAAAAUCCAACAUGCCCUUUCUUGCAGACAACGUCAAAAGAACCGGGUGCUGCAUAGCCAUGUUUAGCAUUGCAAAAGGAGUUUGCUAUUCCUUCCUCUUUUAAAAGAGCAAGGCAAAGGUCCAGUCAGGCAGUGAGACCCAGUUUGGACACGCUACGUGCUUGAAACACAGAAGUGUAGCAGAAGUUUGGAGCACAAAGUCUGGACGAAAAUAGUUGUCAGAUACGCAAUUAGAAAUUGUGGCAUAUGGGAGGAUGGCAAGAGGCAAGGUGAAUGCUUUCCCGUGAUCUAGCCCUGAUGAUUUCUUAUACUUUUUGAGGGACCAAAGAAAAUAAUGUUCGGUGAAUUCAAGGCCUCAAAGCUUAAAGCAUUGUUGAAAAUCUGGACACCCGCUGAAGAACAAUGAUACCCAGAGGAUGAAAGCUGGGGAAUUGCUGCAGCUUCACAUGUCUUCAUCAUGAAAAGUCACAAUAGAGUGAAGCGUGAAAAAUACCCUAAACAGCUGCCAGCAUGUUCGGCAUUCUGUAACUUACUGGCAUUUGGAUGAGGAAGUGCAAACGUUUCUCUAUAAAAUCUGGGCCAUUUUUUCUACAGUUCUUCUGCCAACUCCUGAUGUGUUCUGAAGUAUCUGAAGCAGACAUGGGCAGCCCAAUGGUCAUGGAUCAGGGAUAAAACUUGGAUUAGUUGCAAUGUUGCGACACAGAGGGCUUGGAUUGUACUCAAUCCGGACCACAGCCUGGUUGUACAGCUCUGCAGGAUCAAUCAAGCUUGGGGCCGGUUUCCCACAGCUUCCUGUAAAGCACAGUAAGCAGUGACUAGGUUUCAUCUGGCAAGUCCUAAAGUCUUGCUAUCGGCUCACUGCUGUCAAAAGUUCUGGAGUUACUUUAAAUGUUGAUUUAAAUAAUGGGGGAAAAAAAAUGUUAAAAAAACAAAAGAAGUUUACUCAAAACUUAUCAAAGUACUAGAAUUAAGUUAGCACAUAAAUUUAAAACAAAAUAAAAAUAAAGCACGAUCUACCUACACUUACUUGCUUUCUCAGUUAAGGUCAGCAACCUCAUUCAUUUGUUUUCUCAGACUAUGGUGUAUGACGUUAAGUGCAUAAGGCCUUCUUUGGUUGGAUGCUUGUGUUCUGUCCCUGGAAUAAGCAUGAUUCCAGUGACAGAGGCAUAUAGCUCAUGGCUGGUAUAUCACUUGUGUAUCAUUUCUGGCUGUUUUGUUUUAAGAGACAAGCUGACCAUUGAGGAUGACAUCAGUGCCAAUUCUUUACAGAACUGGGCAUGUGUAAGCUCAUUGAGAGACCCUAGAACAAUUGCUUCCCAUUAGGACCACCCUAUCUCUCAGUGACCUAUUUGGUAAGUUGGAACACCGGCAAUACAAGCAUUUAAUAAAUAUAUGGCAUUAAAGGUUCUUCAUCCAGCUGUAAACUACACAGUUCUAGCAGAAAAUAAUAGAAAGGCAUCUGAGAUUAAAAUCCCAUAUAACCUUGAAGAUACUGCAGUCUAGAAAUCAGUCACCCGAUUGAAAUUAUACUUAUCGCAGAGAUUAUUCCCUUUCAUUACAUGCCAAUUUGGAAAUUCAAGCAGCCACUUCCUGGUGUGGAUCUCAGUUCUUUGCCUGAUGAGAUUUAUUUGAGAUUUUCUAAGCAGUGCUUCUUAUGGAAGAUCACAGGGGAAUUAAUCUAAAUUAAGCCUGGAACAACCAAUGUUAGGCACACCCAGAGCAACUGGAACUUUGAUGCUCAUUGUCAAGCUGCAACCCUACUAAAAUAACUAACAUUUAUCUUAGCCAUUGCAUUACAACAUUGAUUGAUACAGUCUGUCCACCAACCCACCAAUCAGCCAGACCCAGAUACCCAACUGCUCCAGUUAAUCCAGGUCUUUAAAAUGCCCUGCCCCUCAAGAACUCCCACCUCCCCCCAUCUGCCAACUCCGAACCAUACUUUGAGUCUUCAGUUCCCCAAGCACUCAGUAGAACCCUCAACCACACUACAUCCACACUACACCCUCUCCAACCCCCCCCCACCCCACUCCACCCACAGCACGAAGCACCAUUCUCCUUCCUUCCUGCUCUUGAUCCUGUAUUGCCCUUGAUUUCAGGAAUUAAUUGGGUCUGCAACUCUGUUUCUCCCAUAAUCCUCCUCUCUUAGCCCCAAUGCAGAAUAUUUUUGGUUGCAAAAAUUUGUAAUGUUUGUGAAACACUGCAGAACUUUGCCACGCUAGAACUAAGACUAAAACAGUUCUUGGUGAAUUGCUGCCACAGUCAAGUACAGUGCUGUAAUCUUUAGAACAGACUGGAUUUUUUUUACUCCAAGUAUGCAGAGGAAUUCCUGAUUUUCAUCCUUCAGAAUGGUUUGCAGUAUUUUAAUUCUUGACAUUGAUGGCAAUUUUUAAAUUACAGUUUGAUGAAAUGAUUUUGCUACUCUUUCAAAAUUGAUUUCUUUUAUAUUUUAAAUAAUUAGCAAGCUAUUGCACAAUUCAAAUUAAUUGAAAAGUUAUCUAAAGCCAAAAAAGUUUGAUGCAUUGUUAGAAAAAAAUGUAUUUGCAGUUAAAUUGUUUGCUGAACAGAUGCCUGGCUGCUGGCUUUUGGGAUAAACGUGCAAUAACUUUCUAAAUGCCGUAGAAAUUGUUCUCCACUUUCAAAAUGUCAAAAGCUGUAACUAUCUUUUGUGAGAAAAUCAUUGCUCAGAUCAGAUGCUACAUCAUUUUGUUAAUUAAUAGAUGUUAAAUUGGGAACAAAUCAUUUGUUGAUUCUUGUGGAGUUUACAGCACAGAAAGUAACCAUGUGGGCUGGCUGGUGCCUGUUAGUCCUAAUAUGCCACAUUAGCUGUGUCCAGCUCUACGUCAUCUAAUUCUAUUUACAUGACCUUUUAUUCCUUCAUCUUCUGUCCUCUUAUCAAGUUUGGGCUAUGCUAUCUUAUUUUUAUGGCCAUUAGCUUUUGGCUACCACAUUAGUGAAUUAUUUUUAUCAAGCCCUGAACAAUUUUCAAGACAUUUGAUCCCUUGGCCAAUGUACCCAUCUUUUCCUACCUUUCUUGAUGUUUAAACCCCUAAGUUUUCAUAUAUUACGUGUGAACCAGUUUUAUACUUUCUCUGUUGCCUCCAUGUUCUUUCAUUUUUAUGUUGAUUGCAACCGUAAACACAGCGGAAAACUGUGGUAUAAUUGAUCUUAUCUUAACUUCCUAUUUAAAAAUGUUGACACAACAGUCUGCAGAAGCUGAAAUACGCCAAACAGCUUCUGUGCAGGCCGUGUCUUGGGUUGACAUAUACUUCUAGAUUCCCGGGAUUCUUUUGCUCUUUUACUCUUCCUAGACACUUGGGAAUGGAAAUUAGUUGUUGGUCUUAUGCCAGAAAGCAGUGAGCCUGAGCAUUGUAUUUUGGGUUGAGACCCAGCUUCAGGACUGAGAGUGGAGAGGACAGAUGGCCACUAGGGUGAGUCAAGGGCAGGCAGGCAAGAGGAGGGAGAUGAUGGGCCAAUGGAGCUGAAAGGGGGAGGGUAGAAUUUCCCACUACACUUCCUCUGUCAUCUCCCACCUCUGUGAUUAGAGCAGACAAAAAAGAAAAGGUUUUUGAGCAGCUUUAAAUGCAUGAAGGUUUGCUGUAGAAUAUCAGAGUCUGUGGGCAUCAUACAAAAAUGACAUGAAGCUCUUAAGUGAGUUCAGGGUUAUUAAUAGCUAUGCAAUUGCAGGAUUCUACACAGAUUCAUCAGUGACAGGACUAUAGAUUUUACUUGCUGCUAAAAUUUGACAGUUAAUGUUCCUGUACCUAAAAUCUAAUGCAUUGCUAAACAUGAAAAAUUAAUAGUCCUGACAAAGGGUUCCGGCCCGAAACGUUUCCACGCAUGCUGCCCAACCUGCUAAGUUCUUCCAGCAUGUUGUGAGUGUUGCUUUGACCCCAGCAUCUGCAGAUUAUUUUGUGUUAAAAAUUAUUACAUUAUGGUUUCUACCAAUAUUCAUUCAUUUUUACACAUAUCUAAGUAAUAUGAAGCCUGUGCAAAUGCUGAAUGCACUCAGAAUAUGUUUGCAUUUCCUUCACCUGCAUAUAGGAAGUACAUAAUUACUUGUAUUCCUACUGUAGCUCUGAGGCAAGCCGAGUGUUGAACUUGAGUUGUCUGUAUGGUAGCUGUUUGCCUGUUAGGUUAAUACUUAUUUUUCUCUUUUGUAUCCACAAUUCAUAUUUUGUUUUAGUAUAUUUUAGUAAUGAUCCCAAAAACUGAAGAAGCGUAGAUUUGGUUGAAAUGACCUAGGCAGACUGUCAGCUAGAAUUUUCACAAAAUGGCUGUUCUGUCUGCAUAGCCAUUUUGCGGCUGUGCUGAAGCUGCCAGGUACUGCUAACAGAGACAGCAUUAGUACACAAAUAGGCACCAAAUAGUUCCUGGAUGGAACCCAGAUCCUGUGCUUCAGGAGCUGACCUCGGGCUGAAGUCAUCGACAGUUCUUUUGCAACACUACAGAUACAUUGGCAGGUGCAUUAGGUGCAUUAAUCUCGAACAAUGUGCAGAAUGUCAUUAAUCCAAAUCCUGUAUAAAAUUAUCUUCAGAUUUGCUGUUUUUACAAUUCUUUUAAUAUCUCCCUGUAAGUGUUUCUCUAAAGAUGAAUAAGUUGAACCUUCCCUUGCACAGCAGUUUCUCCCAUGAGAAAGAUGCAGCCAAAUGAAAAUAUUGCUUGGCAUCAACAGUUACCAGCCAACAGGAAUAAGGCAACAGAGCUGCAGCAUCUCAUACUCAUGCAAAUAUCUCAGUAAUGAUUUGCAGUGUUCAAAAAGAUCCCUAUUUAUUCAAGUGAAAUAACUUCUAUGAAUCUACAAUAUUUGAUAAUAUUGCCACUCAAUCACAAAUUUAAAUGAAGCACUUGACAGUUUAAACCUUUAUUUAAAAAUAGAUAAUGGCAUUAAUUUUACACCAUGAUGUCAGCUACAAAGAGGUAAUGAAAUAUUACUAUGUGUCGUGCAUUUAUCUGAGCCACAUAUUUAUAAUUGUAAGCUGAAAAUUUUUGGAACAUGCAGUAUCUUCAUUAAGAUAGCAUGAAUGUAACGUAGCUGAAUAUUCUCAUUCAGAUGGCCGCAUUUAGUGCAAAGUAAACAAUGUCAGGUUUUCUAAAAUCUUUUUAAACACAAGCUCCAGACAACAGCAUGUACUUUAUGUGCAUAAAUCUUUAUAAAAUCCUCGUGAUACCACAGUUUAGAGUACUUUGGGUGCUUUGAGCUCUAAGCUACAGAAAGGAGUUUAUGCCAAAACAAAGAUACUAAGGUCCAAUAGCAAUUUUUCGAAUGCCGCCAAAUAAACUUGUAACUUUGUUUUGCAUGCCAUCCAUCAGAUCAUUUCAUUACAAAAGUGUAUUGAGGUGGUACAGGAGAAGAGCGGUAACAGAAUGCAGAAUAAAGUAUUCCAGUUGCAAAGAAAGUGUAAUGCAGGCAGACAGUAUGGUACAAGUCCACAAAUCAGGUCAACAAUCUAUCUCAUCAUGCUAGGGAAGCAUUUAAUAAUCUUAUAACAGUGGCUUUGAAGAUGUCCUUGAACCUGGUGGCACAUGCCUUCAGGGUUUUGUAUCUUCUGCCUGAUGGGAAAGAGAGAAGAGAGGAUGUUUGGGGUGGGUGGCGUGUCUUUGAUAAUAUUGUCAGCUUUACUGAGACAGUGAGAAGUGUGGACAAAGUCCAUGGAAGGGAGGCUGAUUUCUACAAUGUGCUAAGCUGUGCUCACAGCUCUCUGCAGUUUCUUGUGGUCAUGGGCAGAGCAAUUGUCAUAACAAGCCAUGAUGCAUCCAGAUAGGAUGCUUUCUGUAGCAUCAAUAUAAAUUGGUAUGAAGCAGAGGGGCCUUGCCAAAUUUCUUUGGCCUCCUGAGGAGGUAGAGACACAGGUGUGCUUUCAUGGCUGUGGUGCCUACGUGGUUGGACCACAGGCUGUUGAAAAUGCUCAAUCCUAGGAACUUGAAACUUUAAACCUUCUCAACCUCAGCACCACUGAUGGAAACACAAGCAUGUGCACCUUCUUACCCAAAUCAAUGACCAGAUCUUUUGUCUUGUUGACAUUGAGGGAAAGGUUUUUGUCAUGACACCGUAUACUAGGUUUGCUAUCCCCUUCCUGUACUCUAACUCAUUCUUUUCUGAGAUUUGGCCCACUAUGGUGGUGUCAUCUGCAAACUUGUAGAUGGAAUUAGAACACAAUUGGCCACACAGACACGAGUGUAUAGGGAGCAGAGUAGGGGGAUGAUGAUGCAGCUAAGAGGGACAUCAGUGUUGAGAUUAAUAUGGCGGAGCUGUUGCCAUCUACCUUUAAUGAUCGUGGUGUGUUGAUCAGGAAGUCAAGGAUCCAGUUGCAAAAGGAGAUGUUGAGUCCCAAGUCUAGGAGUUUGGAGAAGAAUUUGCUUGGAAUUAUAGUAUUGAAGGCAGAGCUGUUGUCAAUAAACAAUAGUCUGAUGUUGGUGUCUUUUGUCCAAAUCUCCAGAGAUGGUUGUAGGUCCAGUGACAUAUUUUUUCAGCAAUAGACAAAUAGCAGUGGGUUGAGGUUGCCAUGACCAGCCUCUCAAAGCACUUAAUGAUAAUGAAUAUCAGAGCCACUGGGCAGUAAUCAUUUAGACAUGUUGCCUUAGUUUUUUUAGAUACUGUACUGGGAUGAUAGUGGUUUUCUUAAAGCGGGUGGUAAACUCAGAUCAAAGUAAGAAAAGGUUAAAAUGUCUUCAGGUACCCCUGCCAGCUGAUCUGUGCAGGAUCAGGCUGUUGAAGCAAGAGAUUAAAGAUCUAAGGGAACACUUCAGCCAGCGAAUCAGCACAGACCUUCAGUUCUCGGACAGGUAUCCCUUCUGGGUCACAUGAAGCAAAUCCAGGGUUGUAUAUGGUGACAUGUACUGUAUGUACUUGGGCAAUAAAUUUACUUUGAACUUAGCAUUUUGCUUUCCAUGAGCUUAUCCCCUUGAAGGAUGCUCCCACAUUGGCCCCCCAGUCUGAAAUCAAAGGGACGUUGGGGGCUGAGGGAGUUCAUGAAUGAAGGGUCUCAGCCCGAAAUGUCGAUUGUUUACUCUUUUUCAUAGAUACUGCCUGGGCUGCUGAGUUCCUCCUGCAUUUUAUGUAUGUUGUGUGGAUUUUCAGCACCUGCAGAUUUUCUUGUCUUCUCGAUUUUAAAACGUGGUAUUUUUUUUCACUUGUACUUGUUCUAUAUUGACAUCACUGUAUUUCUCUAGGAUAUGGUGUCUCAUAUCUUGAACCUGUACACAUAUGAGCCAGUACCCAUUUAUGUCUACAGCAUUGUACUCAAAUAGUCUUGGCCAGACUUAAACUGCUGGCUCAUACUUGAGAAUUAAAACUAUCAGUAAGAAGAGAAGUGGCCUGGAAACAUCCAAAGAACUCAUUAGUUAUCCUCAUUGACACCUUUUUUAAGCAGACACUGAAAGAUACCCAUAUUAAUGAAAAAAUUAGCUAUAAGCAAGACACCAAUUUAUUGAUUUCCAACUAAGAAGCACUUCUUUGGUAAUUAGAAAGUAGAUGGUCAUGUCCAACAUGCUUGUUACAUUCAGCAUAUGAAUAUUUACCCAUCCAGUUCAGCUAACCUUCAGGCUGCUUUUCAAACUUUGAAGCCAAAGUCAUAGUUGCUUAUUGUU